rnacentral:lncRNA from 1 species
UGUACCCGGGAGGAAGAAAUGCUACACAGAGAAGCCAAGAUGAAUCUGAACAGACAGCCUUUGUCAGUUCCACAGAUUCCAUAAAAGUUAACUCCAGAGCAGAGAAUGAUGCCACAGUCGGGAUAACAUCCAAUAUUUGCAAUCAGAAGAAAUAUGAGAGUCUUGCUCCAUCACCCAGGCUGCAGUGCAGUGGCACGAUCUUGGCUCACUGCAAGCUCCACCUCCCGGGUUCACGCCAUUCUCCUGCCUCAGCCUCCCAAGUAGCUGGGACUACAGGCGCCCACCACCACGCCCAGCUAAAUUUUUUUGUAUUUUUAGUAGAGAUGGGGUUUCACUGUGUUAGCCAGGAUGGUCUCGAUUUCCUGACCUCGUGAUCUGCCUGCCUCGGCCUCCCAAAGUGCUGGGAUUACAGGCGUGAGCCACUGUGCCCGGCCGUAAUUAUUCUUUUCGUGUUAAGCAAUGGUAAAAGAACUGACUGAAAAUAAGAAUAUUAAAAAGUUUCUCUGCUAAAAACA